rnacentral:rRNA from 1 species
UACGGAGGGUGCGAGCGUUGUCCGGAAUCAUUGGGCGUAAAGGGCGCGUAGGUGGCCCCUCAAGCGUGCGGUGAAAGUCGGGGCUCAACCCCGAUCGGCCGUGCGAACUGGGGGCUGGAGCACUGUAGAGGCAGGCGGAAUUCCGGGUGUGAGCGGUGGAAUGCGUAGAGAGUCCGGAAGAACACCGGUGGCGAAGGCGGCCUGCUGGGCAGUUUCGCUGACACUGAGGCGCGACAGCGUGGGGAGCAAACAGG